AUACUAAGCAAAUGGUAGUAUAAUCUGAGAUCGUCGAUACAAAUGUACAAAUGCAUGCUUCUGCUCUAUUACACUUUUUCUGCUGUGUACUCAUGCACUGUUGUCAUUUCUGGAGAAGGCCAGCUGAUAACUUCUUUUUCCUUGUAUAAAGGUUCUUGACAGGAUUCUUUUUUGCUGCUGUUCCGUGGUAUGUUGGUGCUUUCAUUCUACUCUUUGUUGUGGUAGACUACAGGGAGAAAGCAGGAUUGAUUGCAUGUACAAUUGGGGCUGUUCUGGUAGCAAUUAGUUUUAUUCUUGGGGUAUCUAAUGGAAAUUUGGAGUGGUGAACUCUUCAAGUUAUAUGUGUUCAGCCAGCUAUUGGGUCUGUAUUUGCGCAUUGAUUCUGGGUCUAUUUUGCUGUUAUUGUCAUGUUGUGGCUGCAGCACUGAUGAAUGGAAGUUUCAUAUCCUUGUGAUGCACUUGAAUAAGAUAUAUAUUGUCACCUAUAUUUUGAUAUUUUAUGUGUAGAUAAAUGAGUAAAUAAAUGGCCUUUGUCUUA